GACCAGGCUCCUCCCCGCUGCAAACAGCGCGAAAUUCUGUGGCUCCACCCCAGCGCACUGCUCCCAGUGUGCAGUCCGGCUGGAGUUUUUCUGGGGAUCCUUUCCUACCUGGCUGUCUCAAUAAGAACUGAGCUUGUCCCCCAAGGCUACAGUGCAAAAAGUCAGGUCACUAGGCCCAAUAAGGGAAAGGGAACCGAGAGCCUGGCAUGCUAACAAAAGGGUUUCUGAUAGCUUUGGAGAUUGUAACAUCAGAAUAGAGGAAAAACUUCCAGGACUCUCAUGGAGAGCUGAAAUAUUCAUGAAUAUCAAGAAGAACAGGAGUUAACCACAUGAACUGGACUAAUAAAAGAUGGAAGUAAUUAUUUUUUGACUUUGCUUAAAAACAUUGCCCAUCCUUUGUUUUGUUUUCAGAGUCAAGGAAACUUUUCAUUUGAGUUGUCUACAGAUUUUAACAAUUGUGUAAAGUGUACUCCUGUGAGUAACAUUUACAGCAUAUUUGUUUCUCUCUACCUGAUUUCUCCAAAAUUUGGAAACUAUUUGUAUCUUAAAUUGUGGCAAUAUAUUUAUUUGCAUAAGUUCCAUAAGAAUGUUUUAUUUUGCAACAGGACACAAGUGGAUAAAUUGUUUAUUUUACAAGGCUUUGACUAGAAUGGCAUGCUUUCUUUUAAGGAAUCAAAUUUGACAUGGAGAGCCAAUAGAAGCCCCUUGGGAAAACUGGCCUCAUACCUUGUCUAUAGAGUUCCUAUACGGGGUUCCUGACCUGGGAUAAGUAAAGAAUAUUACUUUCUGACAGGCCCAGGAGCCCCAAGUUAUCUUGGGACCUCAAGAGGAGAGGAAUUUACCCAACUCAUAGGUAUUUGACAGUACAACCCCAUCACUGGGCUCAGUUUUAAAAGAAAAAUGUCUUGUAUGAGAUUUCUUAUGGAACAGAGUUCAAUCAAAGUCAAUUUAGAAAGCCUAUGUGAAAAAUAGUUAUUCUUGCUCCACUUUAUUCAAAUAAUCAGGCCAAGUUUAAUAAAGCAAGCCAGUCUUACUAUGAUUUAUUUUUAGUGAAAAUGGGAGACUGGAGAAAUAAACUAUAUUUCAAGAACUAUGGUACACUCAUUAUUAGAUUCUAGUCUCAUCAGAUGUGGAAUAUAUUUGCUAUUGUACUCUUUGUGUAGGAAUGAAGGGUAAGCUUACUCAAUAUUUUCUUAAAUUGAAUACUUAAUAAAUUAUAAGCUUUUGUAGGAACUCAGAGGUAUGAAUGACCUUCACCAUACUGACACUUUAUGACUGGGCUCCUCUCUACCUGUAAUACAAGAGACCCCAAUAGCUAGGCAGGAAUAAUAUCACCCCUAUUCAGCCUGAAGAAGUUACAGAAGAUGGAUCUUUGCUCCUCUACAACUCUUAGGAUUAAGGGAUCUCUUAUAAAAGAGAUGGGGAAAAUGUCAGAGGUGUUGGAACCAGAGCAACUCCAUCUUAAAUAGGGGCUGGAUAAAAUAAGGCUGAGGCAUACUGGGCUGUAUUCCCAGAUGGUUAGGCCUUCUAAGUCACAGAAUGAGAUAGGAGGUUGGCACAAGAUACAGGUCAUAAAAACCUUGCUGAUAAAACUGGUUUCAGUAAAGAAGCUGGCUAAAACCCAGCAAAACCAAGAUGGUAAUGAGAAUGACCUCUGGUUGUCCUCACUGCUACACUCUCAUCAGUGCCAUAACAAUUUAUAAAUGCCAUGGCAAUGUGAGGAAGUUACCCUAUAUGGUCUAAAAAGGGGAGGAACCUCAGCUCUGGGAAUUGCCCACCGCUUUCCUGGAAAACUAAUGAAUACUAAAAAUGGGCAACCAUUUUUAUGGUUAUUUCUUGAUUAGUCAUUCUUUUAUUCCUUUACUUUCUUAAUAAACUUGUUUUCACUUUGCUUUAUGGACUCGCCUCAAAUUCUUUCUUCUGUGAAAUCCAAGAGACCUCUCUUGAGGUCUGGAUUGGGACCCCUUUCCAGUUAUACUACCAGUUCUAGCCUACUAGAAACGGUAAAAAAUCAGAAAGAACAGAUAUGAUAAAGGGUCAGAGACUUGAUUCUAUAAAAAUUAAUAAAGAACACAGUAAAUGGAUUAAAUAAAAGUAAAAUUAAAUGGGUUAUUUUAAUUUUAAUUGCUCUAAAAGAUAACACAAAAAUAGAAGUAUUUUUGUGUUAUUAGCAUAUACAAAACUAAAAUAUAUUACAAAAAUAUCACCAAGAAUGUGAGGGAAGAAUUGAACAAAUACUGUAAUAAGUUUCUUCACAAUAAAAAAAAAAUUCAAAAUCAACAAAUUUUUGCUCUGUCAUCAGAGAACUGAGGUCAUAGGACAAACGGCUGCCCUGAACACUGGAGAGACAGACAGCUUACUGGACAAAAGUUUAGGAGCAGAAGCCCACAAUUGGAUUUAGUAUUGGUUAGAACACUUUAACUUUAAUUGACAUAUUGCUGGAGGUUAAGUGUAGACAGACUUGACAGGAGGCCCAGUGGGUAUAAUCAAAUUCAACUUUAUGAAAUUUUGCCACAUUUCUCCCUAAAAUAGUUAUACCUCUAUAUAUCUGUACCCUAUGUGUCUGAGAAUACACAAGACUCUACAUUGCUGCUAACACUUUGUACUGUCAAACUUUGUUUUGCUAUGUUCAUAAUAAACAAGACAUGGUAACAGUGUGAUUUUGAGUUUUCCUGAUUAUAAAUGAGAUUGAGAAUUCAUCCAUAUUUUUCAGUCAUGUAAGUGACUUGUGUGAAUUGACUGCCUAUAUCCUUCACUUAUUUUUCAUUUUUUAAAAUACGUUGAUUUGUAGAAGUUGUUUAUAUGUUCCAGAAACUAAUCACUUCAUGUUUAUAUGCACUGAAACUACAUUCCCUAACUGUCAUUAGUUUAUUGUUAAAUUGUGGAAAUAGUGUCAUUAUACAAACUUUUUUAAUACUCAAAUUUAUCAGUACAAUUAUCAGUCUUUUCCUUUAUGCUUGUACUUUCUUCAUGUCAGGAAAUUUUGACUUAAACUAAUUCAACAAAAUACUUACCAAAAUGUUCUUAAAAUAUUUUUAAGUUUUGCCUUUCACAUUUAGGUCUGUGAUCUUUUUGCUAAUCACUGAUUUGUUAUUUCUUUUGGUUUCUGUUUGUUUUUAUGCUACAAUUAAAGGCUCAGUUAUUUUCCCAUUUAGAGAAUCUGUAGUCCCAAUACCAGUUUUAAAAAAUUUUUCUUGUCUAUUUAAAAAAUAUAUUAUAUGUUGACAAAUUACAGUUGUAUACAUUUACAAAGUACAAAGUGGUAUUACAAUUUUUAAUACAAUGUGAAAAAUUAAACUACUUAGCAUAUAUAUAACCACAGAUAUUUAAUAUUUUUUUGUGAUGAGAAUGUUAAACAUUUACUCUUUUAGUGAUACUGAAAUCACUCUUUUAGUGAUACUUAGUGCACUGGGGUGAACAUGGCUCACUUCAGUCUAGACCUUCCAGGCUCAAGUGAUCCUCCUACCUCAGCUUCCAGAGUAGCUGGGACCCCAGAUGUGCACCACAUUUCCUGGUUGUUAAAAAUAUAUAUAAGUAUGUAUUUUGUAGAGACAGGGUCUCUCUAUGUUGCCCAGGCUACUCUCGAACUACUGGGCUUAAGUGAUUCUCCUGCCUCUGCCCCUCAAAGUGUUGGGAUUACACACAUGAGUCAUCAUACCAAGCCUUGCUAAUUUAUUAAUCAUAUUAUUGUUUUAUGUCAUCAAAACAUUGAGUUGUUGUAAAUAAAAUAGAAGUAAUGCCUUAGUUUUCUUCUUUUGAAAAAUAUUAUUUUUUCAUGUGAUUAAGGAAUAUUAGUGUUUAUUUCUGUGUAUCCUGUAUGCAUUUAUAAUUCUCUCUUUGCACAAUUUAUAUGUCUUGACUUUUUAAAUGUUGUUGUUUUCUUAAUUUGUAUAAGCUCUUUCUAUAUCAGGAAUAUUACAUAUUGUUUGUGAUAUAAAAAUUAUAACUUUUCCAAUUUGACUUUCCAUUGGUUAUUUCACCUAUUUUUUUAUUUUUAGAUAAUAGAAUUUAUUAAAAGCAAGCAAAAAGUAGUGAAUAAUAAACAUGAGAAGAGAAAUAAAU
rnacentral:lncRNA from 1 species